rnacentral:rRNA from 1 species
GACGAACGCUGGCGGCGUGCUUAACACAUGCAAGUCGAACGGAAAGGCCUCUUUCGGGGGGUACUCGAGUGGCGAACGGGUGAGUAACACGUGAGUAACCUGCCCUUGACUUUGGGAUAACUUCAGGAAACUGGGGCUAAUACCGGAUAGGAGCUCCUGCUGCAUGGUGAGGGUUGGAAAGUUUCGGCGGUUGGGGAUGGACUCGCGGCUUAUCAGCUUGUUGGUGGGGUAGUGGCUUACCAAGGCUUUGACGGGUAGCCGGCCUGAGAGGGUGACCGGCCACAUUGGGACUGAGAUACGGCCCAGACUCCUACGGGAGGCAGCAGUGGGGAAUAUUGCACAAUGGGUGGAAGCCUGAUGCAGCAACGCCGUGUGCGGGAUGACGGCCUUCGGGUUGUAAACCGCUUUCGCUCAUGACGAAGCUUUGUGUGACGGUAGUGGGUAAAGAAGCACCGGCUAACUACGUG